rnacentral:rRNA from 1 species
GCGAAUCCAACCUGCCCACCACUUGGGGAUAACCUUGCGAAAGUAAGACUAAUACCCAAUGACGUCUCUAGAAGACAUCUGAAAGAGAUUAAAGAUUUAUCGGUGAUGGAUGGGGAUGCGUCUGAUUAGCUUGUUGGCGGGGUAACGGCCCACCAAGGCAACGAUCAGUAGGGGUUCUGAGAGGAAGGUCCCCCACAUUGGAACUGAGACACGGUCCAAACUCCUACGGGAGGCAGCAGUGAGGAAUAUUGGUCAAUGGACGAGAGUCUGAACCAGCCAAGUAGCGUGCAGGAUGACGGCCCUAUGGGUUGUAAACUGCUUUUAUAAGGGAAUAAAGUGAGUCUCGUGAGACUUUUUGCAUGUACCUUAUGAACAAGGACCGGCUAAUUCCGUGCCAGCAGCCGCGGUAAUACGGAAGGUCCGGGCGUUAUCCGGAUUUAUUGGGUUUAAAGGGAGCGUAGGCCGGAGAUUAAGCGUGUUGUGAAAUGUAGAUGCUCAACAUCUGCACUGCAGCGCGAACUGGUUUCCUUGAGUACGCACAAAGUGGGCGGAAUUCGUGGUGUAGCGGUGAAAUGCUUAGAUAUCACGAAGAACUCCGAUUGCGAAGGCAGCUCACUGGAGCGCAACUGACGCUGAAGCUCGAAAGUGCGGGUAUCGAACAGGAUUAGAUACCCUGGUAGUCCGCACGGUAAACGAUGGAUGCCCGCUGUUGGUCUGAAUAGGUCAGCGGCCAAGCGAAAGCAUUAAGCAUCCCACCUGGGGAGUACGCCGGCAACGGU